GAUGAACGCUGGCGGCGUGCCUAAUACAUGCAAGUCGAGCUAACGGACGAGAAGCUUGCUUCUCUGAUGUUAGCGGCGGACGGGUGAGUAACACGUGGAUAACCUACCUAUAAGACUGGGAUAACUUCGGGAAACCGGAGCUAAUACCGGAUGAUAUUUUGAACCGCAUGGUUCAAAAGUGAAAGACGGUCUUGCUGUCACUUAUAGAUGGAUCCGCGCUGCAUUAGCUAGUUGGUAAGGUAACGGCUUACCAAGGCAACGAUGCAUAGCCGACCUGAGAGGGUGAUCGGCCACACUGGAACUGAGACACGGUCCAGACUCCUACGGGAGGCAGCAGUAGGGAAUCUUCCGCAAUGGGCGAAAGCCUGACGGAGCAACGCCGCGUGAGUGAUGAAGGUCUUCGGAUCGUAAAACUCUGUUAUUAGGGAAGAACAUAUGUGUAAGUAACUGUGCACAUCUUGACGGUACCUAAUCAGAAAGCCACGGCUAACUACGUG
rnacentral:rRNA from 1 species